rnacentral:rRNA from 1 species
UCGAACGAUGAUCCGGUGCUUGCACCGGGGAUUAGUGGCGAACGGGUGAGUAACACGUGAGUAACCUGCCCUUGACUCUGGGAUAAGCCUGGGAAACCGGGUCUAAUACCGGAUACGACCUUUCAUCGCAUGGUGGUUGGUGGAAAGAUUUUUUGGUUUUGGAUGGACUCGCGGCCUAUCAGCUUGUUGGUGAGGUAAUGGCUCACCAAGGCGACGACGGGUAGCCGGCCUGAGAGGGUGACCGGCCACACUGGGACUGAGACACGGCCCAGACUCCUACGGGAGGCAGCAGUGGGGAAUAUUGCACAAUGGGCGAAAGCCUGAUGCAGCGACGCCGCGUGAGGGAUGACGGCCUUCGGGUUGUAAACCUCUUUCAGCAGGGAAGAAGCGAAAGUGACGGUACCUGCAGAAGAAGCGCCGGCUAACUACGUGCCAGCAGCCGCGGUAAUACGUAGGGCGCAAGCGUUGUCCGGAAUUAUUGGGCGUAAAGAGCUCGUAGGCGGUUUGUCGCGUCUGCUGUGAAAGCCCGGGGCUCAACCCCGGGUCUGCAGUGGGUACGGGCAGACUAGAGUGCAGUAGGGGAGACUGGAAUUCCUGGUGUAGCGGUGAAAUGCGCAGAUAUCAGGAGGAACACCGAUGGCGAAGGCAGGUCUCUGGGCUGUAACUGACGCUGAGGAGCGAAAGCAUGGGGAGCGAACAGGAUUAGAUACCCUGGUAGUCCAUGCCGUAAACGUUGGGCACUAGGUGUGGGGGACAUUCCACGUUUUCCGCG